rnacentral:misc_RNA from 1 species
UACGUAGGUGGCAAGCGUUGUCCGGAUUUACUGGGCGUAAAGCGAACGCAGGCGGAAUGUUAAGUAGGAAGUGAAAGGUUGGAGCUCAACUCUGACACUGCUCCCUAUACUGGCAUUCUUGAGUGCCGGAGAGGAAAGCGGAACGACACGUGUAGCGGUGAAAUGCGUUGAUAUGUGUCGGAACACCAAUGGCGAAAGCAGCUUUCUGGACGGAGACUGACGCUGAGGUUCGAAAGCUAAGGUAGCGAACAGG